rnacentral:rRNA from 1 species
GACGAACGCUGGCGGCGUGCUUAACACAUGCAAGUCGAACGGAAAGGCCCUGCUUUUGUGGGGUGCUCGAGUGGCGAACGGGUGAGUAACACGUGAGUAACCUGCCCUUGACUUUGGGAUAACUUCAGGAAACUGGGGCUAAUACCGGAUAGGAUCUCCUGCUGCAUGGUGGGGGUUGGAAAGUUUCGGCGGUUGGGGAUGGACUGGCGGCUUAUCAGCUUGUUGGUGGGGUAGUGGCUUACCAAGGCUUUGACGGGUAGCCGGCCUGAGAGGGUGACCGGCCACAUUGGGACUGAGAUACGGCCCAGACUCGUACGGGAGGCAACAGUGGAGAGUAUUGCACAAUGGGAGGGAGCGUGAUGCGGCACCGCCGCGUGCGGGAUGACGGCCUUCGGGUUGUGAACCGCUUUCGCCUGUGACGAAGCGUGAAUGACGGUAAUGGGUAAAGAAGCACCGGCUAACUACGUG